rnacentral:snRNA from 1 species
CAACUCUGGUUUCCCUUCAAAACGCAUAAAUCUUUCGCCUUUUACUAAAGAUUUCCGUGGAGGGGAACACUCAAAUGAGUCUUUAAUAUUUUUGAAAGUCUUGCAACCAGCAAGACU